CCAAUAGCGUAUAUUAAAGUUGUUGCAGUUAAAAAGCUCGUAGUUGAAUUUCGGGAUUGACGUGAUGGUCAUGCCUUAAGGGGUAUGAACUGUUGCAGUUGAUUUCUCACCUUCUGGAGAAACUUGAUGUCCUUUAUUGGGUGUCUUGCGGAUCCAGGACCUUUACCUUGAAAAAAUUAGAGUGUUUAAAGCAGGCAUUUUUGCUCGAAUACAUUAGCAUGGAAUAAUAGAAUAGGACGGCAUGUUUCUAUUUUGUUGGUUUCUAGGAUCACCGUAAUGAUUAAUAGGGAUAGUUGGGGGCAUUAGUAUUCAAUUGUCAGAGGUGAAAUUCUUGGAUUUAUUGAAGACUAACUACUGCGAAAGCAUUUGCCAAGGAUGUUUUCAUUAAUCAAGAACGAAAGUUAGGGGAUCGAAGACGAUCAGAUACCGUCGUAGUCUUAACCAUAAACUAUGCCGACUAGGGAUCGGAUGAUGUUAAUUUUUUAAUGACUCAUUCGGCGCCUUAC
rnacentral:misc_RNA from 1 species